AACGUAGGAGACAAACGUUAUCCGGAGUUACUGGGCGUAAAGGGCGUGUAGGCGGUUAGUUAAGUCUGGCGUGAAAGCUCUCGGCUAAACCGGGAGAGGUCGUUGGAUACUGGCUGACUAGAGGACGGUAGAGGCGUGUGGAAUUCCGAGUGUAGUGGUGAAAUGCGUAGAGAUCCGGAGGAACACCAGUGGCGAAGGCGACACGCUGGGCCGUACCUGACGCUAAAGCGCGACAGCAUGGGGAGCAAACGGGG
rnacentral:rRNA from 1 species